AAAACACAUAUAAACUGCUGGCAGAAGAAGAUGAUGAAAAAGCUCCCUAUUUACAACAACAGCCUUUGCCCAGACACAUUCUUAUGCAGGAAAUUAAAUCCAUAAAUGCCAUUUUGACGCUCUUUGAUGUGGCGUGACAGACCGCUGCAAGCGGAAGCGCGG